GAUGAACGCUGGCGGCGUGCUUAACACAUGCAAGUCGAACGAAACACCUUAUUUGAUUUUCUUCGGAACUGAAGAUUUGGUGAUUGAGUGGCGGACGGGUGAGUAACGUGUGGGUAACCGGCCCUGUACAGGGGGAUAACAGUCAGACAUGACUGCUAAUACCGCAUAAGACUACAGCACCGCAUGCUGCAGGGGUAAAACUUCCGGUGGUACAGGAUGGACCUGCGUCUGAUUAGCAGGUUGGUGAGGUAACGGGUCACGAAGGCGACGAUCAGUAGCCGGGUUGAGAGAGUGAACGGCCACAUUGGGACUGAGACACGGCCCAGACUCCUACGGGAGGCAGCAGUGGGGAAUAUUGCACAAUGGGGGAAACCCUGAUGCAGCGACGCCGCGUGAGUGAAGAAGUAUGUCGGUAUGUAAAGCUCUAUCAGCAGGGAAGAAAAUGACGGUACCUGACUAAGAAGCCCCGGCUAACUACGUG
rnacentral:rRNA from 1 species